rnacentral:rRNA from 1 species
CGGGAGGCUGCAGCAGUGGGGAAUAUUGCACAAUGGAGGAAACUCUGAUGCAGCAACGCCGCGUGGAGGAUGACACUUUUCGGAGCGUAAACUCCUUUUAUAUAGGAAGAAGAUGACGGUACUAUAUGAAUAAGCGCCGGCUAACUCCGUGCCAGCAGCCGCGGUAAUACGGAGGGCGCAAGCGUUACUCGGAAUCACUGGGCGUAAAGAGCGUGUAGGCGGAUUAAAAAGUCAGAAGUGAAAUCCUAUAGCUUAACUAUAGAACUGCUUCUGAAACUCUUAAUCUAGAAUAUGGAAGAGGUAGAUGGAAUUUCUGGUGUAGGGGUAAAAUCCGUAGAGAUCAGAAGGAAUACCGAUUGCGAAGGCGAUCUACUAGAACAUUAUUGACGCUGAGACGCGAAGCGUGGGGAGCAAACAGGAUUAGAUACCCUGGUAGUC